rnacentral:lncRNA from 1 species
GCUCCUUUCGCCCGGUUAGUCGUGUUUAAACAAAAUGUAAAAAUGAAUUAUUACCAAAACUCAAGCAGACACUCAGCCCCCUUUUUUAGAUCAGGAAUUGGGGAGUCCCGUAUCAGAACGCAAGAGGGGUUUUAUUUGUGCACAUUACGCCACAAUUGGCCUCCUUAAUGUCCGUCUCAUUCAUGCCACGGAGUGAUUUAUGAGCUCCUGAAGGCAAACAUGGC